rnacentral:rRNA from 1 species
UACGGAGGGUGCAAGCGUUAUCCGGAUUCACUGGGUUUAAAGGGUGCGUAGGAGGGCAGGUAAGUCAGUGGUGAAAUCUCUGAGCUUAACUUGGAACUGCCGUUGAUACUAUCUGUCUUGAAUAUUGUGGAGGUGAGCGGAAUAUGUCAUGUAGCGGUGAAAUGCUUAGAUAUGACAUAGAACACCAAUUGCGAAGGCAGCUCGCUACACAAAUAUUGACUCUGAGGCACGAAAGCGUGGGGAUCAAACAGG